AGUACGUUUAUCUUUGGCGUUUUGCUCCUUAUCGCGUUUUGGCCUCUAAAGUGUCAUUUAACGGGGUAGUUUAUAAUAAACAUAUAAAAAAUUAUUGACUGAUAAUAAUCGUGAUGAUGAAUUAUUAAAAUAAUUAAAAAAAAACUUAUAAUAAUUAAAAUUAAUUAUUAAUUCAAAUCAUAAUAAUUUCAAUUAACCAUGAGUUUAAUAAUUAAUACAUAAAUAAUAUACUAAAGUAGUAUAUAUGGACUUUAUUGUCGAUAAGUAAUACGUGAAGUUAUUUAUUAAAACAUUUCUUAAUGCCAAUGAAGCUAAUGGAAAAGUAAAGUACGAAGCACAUUCUUCGUUUGAAUUACCAAUAAAAAUACUGAUGACGAUUAUUUUUCGUGAUUUUUCAACGCAGUAAUGAACUCUACUGCUGUUAGCUUUUGAAAAAAAAAAUCAACUCAUGCAGAGGGACUGUUGAAGAUAGACAGAAGAAGAGAAAAAAAAGAGCGAUAGCUAUUUGUGAGAGGGCAUACGAUUGGCCUUUGGAUUUACUGAUGUGGUCGUCUUGAUGUAAAUCAUUCAAAGAAAAAGGUGCUCGGCGGACUUCACCACGACUCGUCAGACUGACCGCAACGAGUCCAGGUGUCAUUCCGUGCAGUGAGGCCCAGUCGCGAGCAAUCCCACGUCUAAUAGGGCCUCGCCAGCACUCUCGGCCACCUCCACACCCUCCACCC